CCUACGGGUGGCAGCAGUCGAGAAUCAUUCACAAUGGGGGAAACCCUGAUGGUGCGACGCCGCGUGGGGGAAUGAAGUUCUUCGGAUUGUAACCCCUGUCAUUUGGGAGCAAAUUAACAAUGUAGUACCACCAUAGGACGAGACCUCUAACUCUGUGCCAGCAGCCGCGGUAAUGCAGAGGUCUCAAGCGUUGUUCGGAAUCACUGGGCGUAAAGCGUGCGUAGGCUGUUUCGUAAGUCGUGUGUGAAAGGCGCGGGCUCAACCCGCGGACGGCAGAUGAUACUGCGAGACUAGAGUAAUGGAGGGGGAAACGGAAUUCUCGGUGUAGCAGUGAAAUGCGUAGAUAUCGAGAGGAACACUCGUGGCGAAGGCGGGUUGCUGGACAGUAACUGACGCUGAGGCACGAAGGCCAGGGGAGCGAAAGGGAUUAGAUACCCUUGUAGUC
rnacentral:rRNA from 1 species